rnacentral:rRNA from 1 species
UACGGAGGGUGCAAGCGUUAAUCGGAAUUACUGGGCGUAAAGCGUGCGCAGGCGGUUUGUUAAGUCCGUUGUGAAAGCCCCGAGCUCAACUUGGGAAUUGCAGUGGAUACUGGCAGGCUGGAGUACGGUAGAGGAAGGUGGAAUUCCCGGUGUAGCAGUGAAGUGCGUAGAUAUCGGGAGGAACACCAGUGGCGAAGGCGGCCUUCUGGACCAGUACUGACGCUCAUGCACGAAAGCGUGGGGAGCAAACAGG